UGUGAUAAAACGCAGACCCAGAGAGCCUU
rnacentral:piRNA from 1 species